rnacentral:lncRNA from 1 species
AUUUCCAUUGUUGCUGGAGUGUGCGUGAGUGUCUGAAAGAAAAUGUAAGAGACGAACCUUUGCAAAAGCAGACUCCUGCUAAGGAAAAAUAAGCUUUGCCACCCAGUUUUGGUCAUGGGGACUUGAGUUACUGUGACCUCAGAGGCCCCUAGGGGCCUGAUCAUUUUUUUUCUUUCUUUUUUCCUCCAUCUUUUCUUUUCUUUUCUUUCUUUCUUCCUUCCUUUUUCUUUGCUUGCUUUUUUUUUUUUCAAAUGAGUGAUUGAUUUUAAUGAGGAUUGCUAUAGGAUGCUAUAGGAUGCUAUAGGAAUGUCUAAUGUACAGUACAUUAGACAUUCAAGCCUCUGCAUAAGGUGUGGGAAACUGAGAGGGGAGAGAGAAUCAAGCAAAAACCCCCACUCUGUGCCUCUGCUGAGAAUCCAGGGCUGUAAUUGAGGCCGUUGCAAGGCUUUACAAGACGGAUUGUAGCUCAGGAUGUGAAAAGAUUGCCUCAUCAUCAUGUGAGUCAUUUACCAUUAUUAUAGACAAUCCUGCUGUGCCAAAGGGCUUUUAAUCAGAAGGAAACACUGAAAAAUGGAAUCAGGGCUAAGAAACGCUUGGCCCAGCCUGAUGGGCUGUGGAGGAUGGUCUGAGUUAAGAAUAUUUUUUAGCCUCAAGGGAGAUGCGUUCUUCACUAAGCGUUUGCAGAAGGUGCAGAAGGUAUUGUUCUCAGCCCACGGUGUGUGUUUUGUUGACCUUGACUGCGUUUUUCAGCAAGAAGGAAAGGCUAUUUGCCUGAUAAAUGGAAUCGGAGCUCAGCGUCUCGCUCCUAGGCCCCCUAGUGGUUGUCUUUUGCAAUUAAAAAAAUGAAGUGACGUGAGGUCAACAGCAGGCUCUUUGGGUAACGAUCGCAGGUGACUAGAGUGUGCUGCCUUUGACGCUGGCUCCCCCAGACUUCAUCAAAGCUCAGGGGAGAAGCCUUGAAAAUCAGGAGCUCCAGAGGGACAGACGCAUUUCCUCACAGAACGCGGGACAGGAAGGCAGGAACCUUCCGUUGUGGAUGGUGAAGAGCUUGUUCUGUCUUCAAACUUCUGAACCAAUGUCCUGCAUUCCAUGUAUGUGGCUCAUGGUUCUGACCACUGCUGCUUUAAAAUGACAGACCUCUGGGCCGG